GUUUCACAGUUGUUUUAAGGCACACAUAUUCAACGCAGCCACCACUGCAUGAGUUCGGACAGCGUGCAGGGUGUUGCAGAAGACUCCACUGGGCUACGCAGAUGGGUGAGAUCACUGAUUUUAGGAAAGCCAGAUGCCAAAUUUUUAGGACAUUCAGGCAGCUUUAUAGAGAUGCCCACCUGGUGAAGAGACCUCACCUCCUGACAUGUAAGCCCUUUUAGAAGCAAAUCAUCCAGCCCCAGUCUAGCCUUCAGAUGACUGCAGCCCCAACGAACACCUUGAUUGCAGUCUCAUCAGAAACCUUGAGCCAGAACCACUCUGCUAAGCCACACUUGGAUUCCUGAUCCUCAGAAACUGCAUGAGAUAAUAUGUUUUUGUUAUUUCAAGCUGCUAAGUUUGAGGUAGUUUGUUACACAGCAAUGAAUGCACAAGCCCUGCUGAUGAUUCUGUUGCACACUUACAUUUGAGGACAACUGGGAUUCCUAAGCUUCUUUCCAGCUCAAAAAUUUUGGAGUUUUGUGGUCAAUAUUGGGAAUUAAAAACCAAGCAAGAAAUGGCUCCCUAUCCUUGCACCAAGCAAAAGGGCAUUGGCCUCUGGAGCACUGAUUUCAGACCUGGCCAAUGAAAUUCAAGGAAAACUUGGCAAAGCUGGAAAAUUCCAAAGACAGGCAACUGAGAGAAAUUGUAGCCUAGAGCCACUACCUUCUCAUGGAUUCUAAGACAAACAGGGCUCUAUUGUUGGAAAAACUCAGAGAUGCCAAAGUCUACAAAUCACGACUUGGCUACAAGGCACAUGGUCAGGACUGUGGACUGACUGACUCAAGUCCAGGGAAAGCAGAGUUAGCAACAGCAAAUGUAGUGGAAAGGACCUGGACUCCAGAGUCAGAUAGACUGGGUUCUCCUCCAUAGAAGCCACUCACUUGGAGAAAAUUCAGUCAUUUCUUUGAGUCUCAGCUUCUUCAUCUAGGUAAAAGGGAAUAAGACUGUUUGCUUGGUAACCCAAAGAGGAGACUUUACACUGAUCUGUUUAAAGAGCCUGCUGUCAUUGGAAAUGAAUGCAAGAGAAGGAGGCCUUUUUGCAAGUACCAGUUCAUACAAGUCAUCUGAGCUUUCAUAUUAUCAGAGCUGAACCUCCAACUAGAGUCACUGCGGGUUUAAGUGAAUUGGUGAGUUAGUUUAUCAUUGACUGUAAGGCAAAUGACAGAUGUUUAAAUAAUGCCAUAUGCUUUAGAGGCUGACAUCGCAGAGACUGAACAUCCCAGCCUCAGGUACACCAUCCAUUGGUACCCUCCUAUCACUCACCCCCAUCGUGGAGCAGAAUCCUGAAGGAAUGGACCACAAGAGGGAUGGAACAAUGGGAUUUCUGAUAACCCAUUGGGUGGGUGGUGGGGAUGGGGAGGAUGGGGUCAUGGCACAUCGAAAGUAAGGGAUGAAUUUGCUGCUUCAGGCUGGCGUGGGUCCAGCAGCGCUUCUGGACAGUGGCUUUCCCCUCCCUCCAAGCCUGGGUUGGAACUGAGGAAUAACUCCUCUAGCAAACUACAGCCACUUUACUGGCAACUGUUGUCCCUGAGUACAAACUCCCUCUUGGACGUUACAAAUGUACUAAAAAUAAUCUGUAUAUAGUUGCAAACAACUCCCUUCCCUUCAGGAACUAUUAAAGAUUUAAAUAAGUAAUGACUCCAGAACAUAGAUCAUUCAUCCCACCUUCCAUUGUGCUACCUGCCUCACAGCUGUCCCCUGACAUACCUUAGCUGUUUUCUGCCACAUACUAUUGUUCGGGAAAAUAUUCUCAUCUGGUUACACGACUGUUGAAACUUGCCUGUGAAGCGAUGAGCCAUUUGCAGCAGUGCCACAGCCGAGGGAAUUAGUCGCUAUUAAAAUUCUGUUCAAACCAGGGCGUUGCCAAGGCGCCGACAUCUGGGGAAGCUGCCUGCAGGGCUUUGGCUCCCUAACAAAGACUUGGAGAUGGUAGGAUCUCAGUGAGGUUUCUAAAUCAUGGACGGACAGACAAUUUGAGGCGAGAAGUCGCCUGGAGACCACUCCAACCCCUUAAUGCAAAUGAGACAUGGAUCGGUACCAAAUGAAUGAGAGUUCUCACCAAGCUCUUUUCCCUUAAUGAAAAUGGAGAAAAUGCAGAGAGGACACACUUCCUAGGAGGCUGGAACCUCAAGCUCCAGCCAGGCUGCGUGUUGGACUGGAGUGAUGCAAAAAGGGUGUGGAUCCUUCUUUAGCCUAACUCACCACCAUGCUGGCGGCUCCAAAGAUAUAUACCCAGGAGUGGAAUUGUUGGAUCAUAUGAUACUCUAGUUUUAGUUUUUUACUGUUUUCCAUACUAUUUUUCACAGUGGCUGCACCGAUUUACUUUCCCACCAACAGCGUACAAGUGUUCGCUUUUCUCCACAUCCUCGCCAAUAUGUGUUACCUCUGUUCUUUUUGAUGAUGGCCAUUCUGACUGGUGUGAGGUGGUAUCUCGUGGUUUUGACUUGCAUUUCCUUGAUGAUUAGAGAUGUCGAGCGUCUUUUCAUGUGCUUGUUGGUCACCUGCAUUUCCUCUUUGGGAAAAAUGUCUAUUCAGUUUUUCUGCCCAUUUUUUAAUCAUGUUUGUUUUUUUGAUGUUGAGUUGUAUGAGCUGUUUAUAUAUGUUGGAUAUUAACCAUUAUUGGUCAUAUCAUUUGCAAAUAUUUUCUCCCGUUCGGUAAGUUGUCUUUUCUUUUUGUCGAUGGAUUCCUGUGUAAAAGUUUUUGUGUUCAAUUGGGUUGCAUCUGUUUGUUUUUGCUUUUAUUUCCUUUGUUUUAGGAGAUGGAGCUAAAUAAAUAAAUAAAUAAAUAUUGCUGUGA